rnacentral:misc_RNA from 1 species
UAGGUCCGGGUAGGAUUUCCAGGUCGGGUAGGUUAUGUUCUUGUGAGACACUGGUUACAGUUAUGUCCUCAACGUGUGGAAUUUGUUGCUUCCGAAAGAGCAAGUAAACAUUGGUAGAUAUAUAAUUCCAGGAAAAUUGUUUAGGUCAUCUGUCCGYSKYRUAUAWMYUWACAUCGUCGNAAAUGGCGCNAAGRAAACMAGCUUGNUCUCUUUANUUUAUAUGCAUGUNCRAUGNAAAUCUACAAGUUGCCUCAACAAAUWCAUGUAGCUUUUAGAAGUACNAUGUACAAGUUUGCGACAACCAAAUCGGUGUAAACUAUUUCUUCUGAACAACAAGGGCAUNCGUUUCGCAUAUUUCGUUGAAUNAACGUUGAAUAUGAACUAGGUUUUACCUGUAGAAAGUUGCUGGUUGUUUGACGCAGUUGGAGUNAACACCUCGAUAACUCCUUGCAAACGUAAACAGACUCUCUGCUGCAUGAAGCAACGUGUUAGCAAACACCAUAUCUAAAUACAUGAAGCAACGUGUUAGCAAACACCAUAUCUAAAUACAUGAAGCAACGUGUUAGCAAACACCAUWCCUAAAUACAUUUUGUACAAACGUCUUAACAUUGAACAAAUAUGGACARCGACACGUCAUGCUUAACCAGUUUGCURACAUACAUGAACUUGUACAUGCAUAUGUCGUCAGAAUUCGGGGUUCAUUAAAAUAUUAAAGCGGACCACCUUGUAUAUAAGGGAAGAUGGUUCUACUUGCACAAAAUAGCGAGAAAUCUUAUAACAAUCGGCAACCUACUCUAWWAAAACCACUAUAUGCCUAUGUUACAUUUCGAAAGAUUUUCAGACCCGCUUGCCAUAUUUUAAUGAACCCC